UUCACUUUACUUUAUACAAGGAUGACACACAAAUUCAUAAAGCAUUCCAUAUUUUU
rnacentral:snRNA from 1 species